rnacentral:lncRNA from 1 species
UGGGUUAAGACAUUUUAAGUUAAUGGCUUUUAACAAAACUAGUUCUAAUAUACAUGCUGUCUUCACACAGAAAAGAAUAUGUCAACAUACUUUGAGAUCAUCAAAGUGAAGAAAUGCUGCUGAGAUGUGAAAUUAACCCAUCUCAAGGCAAAACAGUAACUACAGACUUUCAAACACAAUACCAUUUGCAUCUUUCAUGCAAACAUUUAGACCAAAUUCCCAGAUUCCCAGAAUCUAGAGCAAGAGAGGAUUUCCAUAUGUGGUUUCUAUUUUUUCUACUACUACCUGCUUCUCCCAGUCUGCAUGAGUUUAGGACAAAAAUGAGCUACUGAUAAAGAUGAAGUAUUAAAAAAAGUACUGAUAAAGAAUAUAUUGAGAUAAAUUUUUCACUAACCAUAGUGUCCAGAAAAGGUCAGUAUCCAACAGAUCAGUACCCAGUGAAACCUAGAGAACAUUAUAGCCACUACUGGUUAAGAAAGGGACGGACAUACGUUCACAGAAAUAGCUGAGUUCUUAAGUCCUUACUGUUUCAGAUGUGAACAUGCUUCCCCUCUCCCCCCGCCCCAAGAUCUUAAUGAGCUUUAUAAGCAGAAUGACCUUUAAUUAUUUUUCACAGACUAUGAAAUCUUGUGGAAAACAACCAGCAAAUUUGCUGAUGUGUAGGCCAACCUACCAGUGAUAAAUGACUUCCUCUUCCAUAAAACAACAUGAAAAAAAAACCCAAACAAACAAAAAUAAAAACAUAUAUCUUGCUUGUGGAGUUGCUGAAUUCUGUGAAAUCGCUUUGCAUUUUUAAACCUUGAAAUUUAACAUUUUCAGACAAAUUUCAACAAUAGCGAUUGGCAAGAACUUCCAUGAAAGGUACCAAAUGGUGUCAAUAUUACUUGCACUGUCAAAUAAUAUCUUUAGCAGUUUCAGAAGUAUAAAAUACUAGUACUUUUUUUUUCAUUCUGUCAUUCUGCAUGUGGAAAUGAAACACUGAUGGAGUAUGAGGCUGCGUACCUGUAAGAAAUUUUUAAGACCUGUGGCAAAUUUUUGUUUUGUUUUGAUUUUAUUAAUUUGGUUUAUUUUGGUUUUAUAUUUUGUUGGUUUAUUCUAUUUUAUUUUGUUUUAUUUUUAAGGAGGGAAUAUUACUUCUAUGCUACUGACUGCAACUAUUUGGAAAGUUAUUUGAAAAUUAUUUAAUUCAAAAACUGAAGAAUUCGAAUCAUGUAGUUAUAGUCAAGAAAAUUUUCUCUUUACACUGUCCUGCACGUUUUAAACAAGCUCCUUCUGUCCUCCAAUUCUGCUUAUGAAGGGUAGGGUAGUAGGAUGCAGAGUAUUUUUCUGUUACUAAUGCAAUGAGUCAAGAUGGGAGGAAACAUCUGCCAACUAGCUUUCAGAGGAAAGCAGAAUGAUAACCUGCAAAUGAGACAUUGUAAUGAAUAGAGAUCAUUUUGCAUCUAGACUAUAAAUAGGAUGCUUUUGAACCCAAAAUGCAUUCAGCUUGCUUCUGUCAGCAGAAGUCUUUAAUAUUAUAGAAGGAACAAGCAAUCAACCUUUCUUUGCCAAUAAAAGCAGUUCAUUAUAUAUUCAACAGCCUUAUUGGAUCUAGAAUGUAAAUCUUUAAAAUCAAAACUGCCUGGAAAUGCCUUUCCUUCUCUCAUACAUAAAAACAGGAGAACAGACUGUAAGAUUUUCUUCAUUGGAAGAAAUUAUUUGAAAAUACAUGAGGAUUACUAUACUUUUGGUCUUCAAAAAUCUAGUUUGCUGUAGAAAUCUGGAAGGUUCUAAAGGAUUUCAAUGAGCCCAGCA